rnacentral:lncRNA from 1 species
CCCCAGCCAGCCAACAGUCAGGAUGACAUCACAAUCACUAGUUCAUAGGUUCUGUCACUGUCUCCAUUUGACAGAGGAGGAAACUGAGUCACAGAGAGCAGGGCAAUAUCUCAAAGCUGCAGAGCUCACACAUGGAAGAAUCAGAUUGUAUCUCAUUGUAUCAGUCAGCUACACUUUUGCUGGGAUAAAAUACCAGAAACACAACUUAAAGAAGAAAAGAUUUCAGAGGAUCCAUCCACGGUUACCUGGCUCCAAGGUUCAUGUUGCUGCUGCUGCUGUUGGAGAGGGUAUAGGCUCUGAGCCCUGAGGGAGCACCCAGCACAGAGCACUCCUCAGUGAGGACAGAAGGAAUGGCAGCCUCAGGCUCAUUUUAUGAGAAGACUGAAACCUCCCAGACCUACCUACACUUGGAGACUAAUAUAUGGAGGGGAAAGCUGGAGUGAUUGAAACUAGAAAAUAACUGUUUCAAACAAUAAGAAAACUGCACAAAAAAGAAUAAAACACACAAAAGGAAAUGAGAAGGAAGUAAAUGGAAUCAACAGUUGGAGGGCCAGAAAUAAAAAUCAAUAAAUAAAACUGAUCCUCUCCUGAUGAGGGAUCCAGUGGAG